rnacentral:rRNA from 1 species
CAGCAGCCGCGGUAAUACGUAGGGUGCAAGCGUUAAUCGGAAUUACUGGGCGUAAAGCGUGCGCAGGCGGUUAUAUAAGUCAGAUGUGAAAUCCCCGGGCUCAACCUGGGAACUACAUUUGAGACCGUAUGGCUAGGGUGUGUCAGAGGGGGGUAGAAUUCCACGUGUAGCAGUGAAAUGCGUAGAUAUGUGGAGGAAUACCGAUGGCGAAGGCAGCCCCCUGGGAUAACACUGACGUUGAGGCUCGAAAGCUAGGGGAGCAAAUGGGAUUAGAUACCCCCGUAGUCCCUGUCUCUUAUAC